UGAUCCACGAUUACUAGCGAUUCCGACUUCACGGAGUCGAGUUGCAGACUCCGAUCCGGACUACGACGCACUUUUUGGGAUUCGCUCACUCUCGCAAGUUGGCCGCCCUCUGUAUGCGCCAUUGUAGCACGUGUGUAGCCCUACUCGUAAGGGCCAUGAUGACUUGACGUCGUCCCCACCUUCCUCCGGUUUAUCACCGGCAGUCUCCCUGGAGUUCCCGACAUUACUCGCUGGCAAACAAGGAUAAGGGUUGCGCUCGUUGCGGGACUUAACCCAACAUUUCACAACACGAGCUGACGACAGCCAUGCAGCACCUGUCUCAGAGUUCCCGAAGGCACCAAUCCAUCUCUGGAAAGUUCUCUGGAUGUCAAGAGUAGGUAAGGUUCUUCGCGUUGCAUCGAAUUAAACCACAUGCUCCACCGCUUGUGCGGGCCCCCGUCAAUUCAUUUGAGUUUUAAUCUUGCGACCGUACUCCCCAGGCGGUCUACUUAACGCGUUAGCUCCG
rnacentral:rRNA from 1 species